rnacentral:rRNA from 1 species
CAAAGGAAGCGAUUCCGGCGGGGGAUGGGCAUGCGGCGCAUUAGCUAGUCGGCGGGGUAACGGCCCACCGAGGCGACGAUGCGUAGGGGUUCUGAGAGGAAGGUCCCCCACACUGGUACUGAGACACGGACCAGACUCCUACGGGAGGCAGCAGUGAGGAGUAUUGGUCAAUGGGCGGGAGCCUGAACCAGCCAAGUCGCGUGAGGGAAGACGGUCCUAUGGAUUGUAAACCUCUUUUGCCGGGGAGCAACGGGGUCCUUGCGAGGGCCUAAUGAGAGUACCCGGAGAAAAAGCAUCGGCUAACUCCGUGCCAGCAGCCGCGGUAAUACGGAGGAUGCGAGCGUUAUCCGGAUUUAUUGGGUUUAAAGGGUGCGUAGGCGGGCUGUUAAGUCAGCGGUCAAAUGUCGGGGCUCAACCCCGGCCUGCCGUUGAAACUGGUGGCCUCGAGUGGGCGAGAAGUAUGCGGAAUGCGUGGUGUAGCGGUGAAAUGCAUAGAUAUCACGCAGAACUCCGAUUGCGAAGGCAGCAUACCGGCGCCCGACUGACGCUGAGGCACGAAAGCGUGGGUAUCGAACAGGAUUAGAUACCCUGGUAGUCCACGCAGUAAACGAUGAAUGCUAGCUGUCCGGGGCUUCGGU